UACGAAGGGGGCUAGCGUUGCUCGGAAUCACUGGGCGUAAAGCGCACGCAGGCGGCUUCUUAAGUCAGGGGUGAAAUCCUGGAGCUCAACUCCAGAACUGCCUUUGAUACUGAGGAGCUUGAGUCCGGGAGAGGUGAGUGGAACUGCGAGUGUAGAGGUGAAAUUCGUAGAUAUUCGCAAGAACACCAGUGGCGAAGGCGGCUCACUGGCCCGGUACUGACGCUGAGGUGCGAAAGCGUGGGGAGCAAACAGG
rnacentral:rRNA from 1 species